GAGAAGCACUAGAGCGUAACUUGCGUGCAGAAGGCCGGACGGGUCACAGAGGUGACUCCGGUAGAGUGAUAAUGAUAGAUUUUGAGCUCUAGGUUCAACCGUACAGGGCUAUUAGAGGGCCUACGGUUGAUUACUUUCUUGCACCUGAUAUGAUUAUGUUGAUGCAUUCAUACCUUAUUACUGUUGAGAUGAUGUGGCAUGGCAUAAUUAAUAUGAGAAUGUUGAGAUGAUGUGGCAUGGCAUAAUUGUUAUGAAAAUGUUGAGUUAACGACUUGAAGUCUUGAGAAUAUAUAUGUAUAUUUAUAUUUUACAUUUCUGGGAAAGUAUACAGGUUUUACGGAGAGGGGUUACAACGUUUUGAGAAAUGUUUGGAUUUGGAAAAAGAAUUGUUUUACUGACCCACUCAAUUUUGGUUUUGCGCCCCUCCAGGUUCAGGAAUCACAAAGGUGUGGUGACUACGAGGAAUUCGACGGUGUUCUGACAGAUUGGACAAAAUUAGGACUCACCUUCGGGUGUAUCAACUUAUAAAUUGUAUCUUAAAGCUUCCGUACUGUGCAAAUGGUUACGUCACUCUCACGUGACGGCCAACAUGCCCUCCUUCGGGACGGGGUGUGUCAGUUGGUAUCAGAGCAUGGUUGCAAUCUUGGACAUCUUGAGAAGUCCUAGUGAAUUCUGUCAGAACUACACCGCCUCGUAGCAAGCCACGUAGUUAGAGGAACUUAGUCUCCCUGAUUUAGCGGUUUAGGGGGGAAACUAUUACUAUGGUGAUUCAGUCUAUUGUCUAAAGGGACAUUUUAAGAUGGGUAAUGAGUUGAACUUGAAUCACCUUAUGAAAUGAUGAACCUGAGAGAGCGAAAGUAACGGUUUAACCAUUUUGGAAAAGAUGUUUCAGGUUAUGCAAGUCAAAGGAAAUUUCCUUCUGACAAGGGGUCGAGACGACUACCUGGUUUUGGUUAUGAAUUUGUAUCCUGGUGGAAACAGGAGUAUGAAUUGUUGUCACCAGAGGAAUCAGUCGAUUGAGAAUUGUUUAAGGACUUGUUUAAAGGAAAAGUUUAUCCCUCCGGCAUUUAUCGAUGGUAGUAAACAAGAGUUUACAAAUAUGAGACAAGGAAGGUGAUGAUCGAGGGAUAUUAUAGAAAGUUUUCAGACUUGCCUCGUUCCAUCCAGAUAUGGUUGUUAAUUUGGUGGAGGUGUUAUGUUGUUUUAAGCUGGGUGGCAAAAAGGGAAGUGGUAUUUUGGGUGACCACUAUCCAUUAUACUUCUUACCAGGAAUAUACGAGAUGCUGUUGAGUCUUGAGGACUCUGAGAACAUGAUCAACGAGAAUAAAGAAGAAUAAGAAAUGAAUGGGAAUUUAAAAGAAGACGAUAAAGUUAAUGAUUCGUCUUAUCAAGGAUAUAGAAAGAUUCAGAGCUUCGAAAGAAGUGAAGCUAGAGUUAAUUCUUCCAGCUGAGGUUUUAAUGUCGCUGGUCAGAGUAAAAGUGAUGGAUAUACUGGUAAUCCCAGAUAUUUGAGACAAGGUGUCUCGAGUAAAGGAAAUGUACUUUGUGCAGCAGGUACAAAAUUAACACUUUGGGAAGUGUGAAAUUAAUGCAUGUGUUUAUGUGAACAGAUGGGACACAGAAUUGUGAAUCGUCCCUAGAAUCAGUUGUACUCAACAAUUUUCCAUGAUAUCAUAGUGUCGAUUCAGCAGAGUUAUGGACUUAGUAGUUUGGUCGGAUUGACCGUGAGUACAAAGAGAUUUGAUGAGUAUAUGUUCAGCUGUACAGACCAUGAGAAGUGGAUUCGACUGACACAUGAGAAAUUGGUGAGUUAUAGGCUCGGCCGUACCGACCACGCGGAGUGGAUCCGGCCGACGUACUAUUGAGAUAAGAGUUGAAUCAGUCGUAUUGAUCAUUCUAGUUGACUUCGGCUGAUAUAUUUCUUAUUAUGUAUGUUAUUACCUUGAGAGUAGUAAAUAAAUGUAGUUGAGAUGAGUGUAUGUAUUUUGCAUUGAGUGACAAAAUAGUAAUGUUAUAUCUUUGAGAGUGGUUGCCUACUUAUCGAGACAACGAUGAUUUAUCAGUAUUGCGGGCUGCAGACCGUAAUAUUAAUAACUCAUUCGUGGAUUCGUUAAGCAAGCAAACCGGUAGAUUAUUUUACGUUAGUAUUGUACUUAUUUGGAAUGCUUAAUAAUAAUAGAAUAUAUAUUGUAUCAGUUAAUUCUGUUCCAUUAGAUUGGUUGGUUAUAAUUGUGACAAGACGAAAUGUUAUGGGAAACCAGUACUUUCCAUCGAUCUGGAUGAACAGAGAUUACUUUUGUAAGUAUGCAAAAUGGAUUGAGUCAGGCUGUUAUUUAUGCUGUGAGAGCAAAGAGAUUGUUUUCGAAAGGCUGUCAAAAAUACUUAGCUCAUGUGGUGCUAAAUGAUGUUGUUUGGAGUAGUGUGAAUAAUGUCGAAAGAGUUAGACUUUUCUUGAUGUCUUCCUUGAAAGUAUACCUGGAUUGCCUUCAGGCAGAGAUAUGAGGUUCAUUAUUGAUUUGUUGCCAGGUAUAAAUUUAUAUUGGAGAUUGGUUCAGGAUGAGUUAAGGGAAUUGGAAAUUCAGUUGAGAGAAUUGGUUGAUAAAAGUUUUAUUCAACCUAGUACAACACUUUUGAGGAGCCCAGUUUGUUGGUGAGGAAGAAAAAUGGAUCUUGAGACUGUUCAUUGAUUAUAGACAAUGGAGUCGGGUAACGAUUGAGAACCGUUAUCCAUGGUGAUGUACUGAUGUUUAUUUAACCAGCUCAGAAGUAAAUUGCGAAGAUUCAAAGAUUGAAUUGAGAUCUGGUUACUACCAAUUGAAUAUUUUAAGUGACGUUGAUCAUAAGAUGGUUUUCUGGACUUGUUAUAGUCUUUAUGAAGUUUGGUGAUGCUAUAUGGAUACUCAUGCUGUUUUAUGAGUUGAUGGAUGAAGUAUUCCAAUAAUGCCUUGAUAAAUUGAUAUCAUUUUCAUUGACGAUAUUCUGGUAUACUCUAAGCUAGAGCAGAGCAUGUAAAUGUAUUAAGUCGAUGAAGCAAAGAUUGAGAGAACGUUGGUUGUAUGCUAAGUUUAGCAAAGGCUAAAGUUAAACGAAUCAAGUGGCAUUCUGAGAAUUGUUAUAUAUUCUUAAGGUAUUCAAGUGAAUCCUUAAAAGAUAGCAGAAAUUGAGAAAUUGGAACAACCACAAGCCAUAAUUGAGAUUCGGAAAUUCUUAACUUAUCAGGCUAUUUUGGAUGGUUGUGAAAGAAUUUUUAGUCAUUGUUUUGUCAUUGAUGAGACUGUUGAGAAAGGAGGUUAUGUAUGAGUGGGAAGGAAAUUGUGAGCAAAGGAUUCAACAACUGAAGUAUUUCCUCACUCAUGCACGUAUUUUAGUAAUCCCAGAGAAUAAUGGUAAUCAUAAAUUUUUAGUGAUGUUUCUUGAAUGGUAUUGGAUGCAUGUUGAUGCAAAUGUUAGGGUGAUUGCAUACGUUUCACGAUAAAUGGAACCUCAUGAGAUGAAUUACCCUACGGGUGACUUGGAAGUCAUGAUUACCAUUCUUGCUGUGAAGUUAUGAAGGCAUUAUAUUUGGUAAGAAUGCAAGAUUUUUACGAAUCCAAAAGUCUUCAAUAUCCAUUACUUGGAAGGAUUUUGAUAUGAGGCAGCGAAAGUGAAUUGUAUUGCUUAAUGAACAUGAUUGUACGAUCAGGGUGAUCGUAAAGUUUGUUCUAGCUCAAGCACUUGGCGAGAAGACUACAGUAAGAUUAAUGUCUGGCACGUUUGCCAAGAUUAUCUUCUUGUGGAUUGGAAAUCAACUGAAGUAAAGUUGAGAAUUGGAGAUCGAGAAGAAGCUCUACUUGCUAAUUUUCAAGUUAGGCCUGUUUGGUAAGGUCGUACUCGAGACUCAAAUGGUAUAUGGAUACAAGCAAACGAAAACGUAUGUGCCUAAUGCUGAGGAUUUAAAGCAAGCAAAUUUGGAUGAAGUACAUUGUUUAGCUUCUGCAAUAUUCCGGACGUAAUAAGAUUUAUUAUACCAUCCGACGUUGUAUCGGUCAGCAGAUUGAAGCAGAAAGAGAUAAACCUUUGGAUUGAGAUAAUUAUUUUCUGUUUCGCAGUGGAAACGGAAAGAUAUUACUUUGGAUUAUGUGUACAAGCUUCCUUGUACACAAGAUGGUUAUGAUCGAAUUUGAAGUGAUAGUUGGUCAAUGUACCAAGUUAGUACAAUUACUCCAGUGCUGAGUAAUAACUUUUUCCCAGACAGGGCAACGGUACUUAAUGUAUUUUGUGUUCGAUGCGUUGUCGCUAGGUGGCAGAGUCGUCACAUGAGAUUCUAGUGCAACUAUUGAGAAUUAAAUUGGAUUCGACUUGAUAAGGAACCAAGGACGACUUUGGAUUGGAAAAAAGAAGGUCCUAAGAAUUAAGACAGAGUAAGUAGUAAAAGCUUUGUGAAGGAAAUCAUUCAGUAGAAAAUUACAUGGGAGACAGAAGAACGGAUGAGAGUUAUGUAUCCGAGACUAUUUUAUGAGUUUUGAUGUUCUGGUUGGUGAUUGGAAUUUCGGGGACGAAAUUCUAUAAGGAGGGGAGAUUGUCACAGCCCGUCCCGGAAUUAUUAAUUCCGAGGACGUGAGAUGACCAAUGUGACCUUAAACGGGAUUAAGGUGUGUAAAUGUAUGACAUUUGUUUUACUUUAAGAUCCUAAACUAGGGUUAGAUUUAUAUUUGUAUGUGUUAAUUUGUGCUUGGACUUAGGUAGGGCCUCCUACCCUGAAUUCCCUCCCUAAAACCCGUAACCUUUCUUCUCUCUUCUUCUUUCAUUCCAGACUCUCUCUCUCUCUUAUUCUUUUCUGAAAACUCUCUCAUUCUCUCUCUUACUCUCGAACUCACGGCAACCACCAAGAACCACCACAAUCUUGUACCAACGUUCCAUUUAAGACCACCAUCGUGAUCCUGGGGACUUCACGAGCACGGGGAUACCAAUUUCAGGUGAGUUUCACUUCGAAAACCCUAGUUCUAAAGUUGCCGUGAGAUGACACUGUUCAUGAGCUUUGAAUUGGUUACGUUUUAGGCUAAAACAAGAUCACAGAGAGUUUAUUAAGGUCCCAAGGAAGCUCGGAGUGCUUCGUUGGAAGUUUUUGGACGUAAGAACACGGAGAUCGACAAGUUCAAAGUUUGGCCGGAGCUUUCGAGGCGUUUUCCGGCGAAUCCCCGGCGAGUUAGGAGUCGAGGUAGGUAUAAAUCUCUUCGUCUCGUCAAGUACUACAACUUUCCUUUUUGUUUCACUCAAUUUCGUUGAGUAUUGAAGAAGUUAUACUCAUUUGAAAAAUACCCAGUUUCCGGCGACCUCCGAGGCUUUCGAGGAAUUUUCCGGCCAAACCACGGCGAACUAGGUGUUGUGCAAGGUACCAUUCUCUUUGUCUCUUCAAGGGCUACAACUUUCGUUUUUGAAUCACUUGAUUUCGUUGAGAAAUGACAAAGUUAUGGCAAUUUGAAAAAACUGCCCGGAAAACGGCCGCCGGAAAAAACCAGUCCGGCGACCCAAGGAAGAAGAAGGUGCUACAGUAAAAAUAAAAAAUAAAAAUAAAAUUAUUUUUAAAAAUAUGUCGACGUCCGUGACGUCGAGUAGAUCACUGUGGUAUAUUCAUAUACCUAAAUUGAACACCGUAUGAGAAAGUUAUUGAGGAUUGUUGGUUAGGUGUUCAAAUAACGUUUUAUAGUUUUCACAUUUAGGUGAAAAUGUGAAUUGAUGAUCCGACCGUUGGAUCGUCACCAAACUUUGAUACGUUGUAAUACGUAAUAUUUGAGGAUUAUUGGAACUUACGGAUUGGGAAUCCGAGUUACGGAUCUUCCGGAAUUGGAAUUGUAAGUCCAUAAUAUAAAAUGUUAACCGUCACUUAGUUUUGGAAAUUGACGGAGACCCGACCGUUGGAUGGUAAUGAAAUUUUAGGAUGUUGUCCUAGAGGUAUAAUGUGGACCUCUGGAAGUUAUGGAUUUAAAAUCUGAGUGGCAGAUCUUCCGGAUCGAUCAACGUAGUGACGUAUUUUAUAUAAGUUAUGUAUUCUAUCGAUAUGAAUUCUGAGCCUGGAUUUGAUUACUAUUCUAGGCGGCGAUCGUCAUGACGCCUUGAUGUGUGGUGCUAGGGAGUUUUUGGACGAACUCCAGGUGAGUGGGCAGUUUUGUUUUCCGUAUAUAUAUAUACUUGACGUUUCCCAGAAAUUGAAUUGAAAUGAAAAUAUGUUUAAAAUGAAAUGCAUAUGAGUUAUGUGGAAAAACGGGAAGUGAAAUACCAUGCAUAGAAUUGAUAUGAAAAGUAUAUAGAAAUGUGAGUUGAAAUGCCAUGCAUGAAUUAAUAUAUGAUGCAUAUGUAUGAAUUGGUGCGGUGGACGCACAGGUAAGAAUUGAUUUAUGAUGCAUAUGUAUGAAAUGGUGCGGUGGACGCACAGAUGAGUAUUUAAUUACUGUUAUGAUGAUGAUGAUAUAUAUUGAGCUCAAAUCCUGCACCAUGGUUUAGUGCUUAUAGUAUUCACCGCAUCGCACGCUCGCCUUGGAUCCAAGUAGAUGCUAGUCGUACAGUCCACGCGGAGUGGGUACGACAGACCAGUCGCGAGAGUGUUAGUGAGAUUCCGACUGGUGGGUGACCUUAGAUUAUGUGCACAGAUGAUUUAUGAGAAGCACUAGAGCGUAACUUGCGUGCAGAAGGCCGGACGGGUCACAGAGGUGACUCCGGUAGAGUGAUAAUGAUAGAUUUUGAGCUCUAGGUUCAACCGUACAGGGCUAUUAGAGGGCCUACGGUUGAUUACUUUCUUGCACCUGAUAUGAUUAUGUUGAUGCAUUCAUACCUUAUUACUGUUGAGAUGAUGUGGCAUGGCAUAAUUAAUAUGAGAAAUGUUGAGAUGAUGUGGCAUGGCAUAAUUGUUAUGAAAAUGUUGAGUUAACGACUUGAAGUCUUGAGAAUAUAUAUGUAUAUUUAUAUUUUACAUUUCUGGGAAAGUAUACAGGUUUUACGGAGAGGGGUU
rnacentral:lncRNA from 1 species